rnacentral:lncRNA from 1 species
CCACAAAUUGAAACCUUCAUACCUGUAAAAAUUUAGACAAUUAUUAUCAUUUCCAGUAACCAAAUUUGAGUUAAAUUUACAUUGAACCACAUUAUAAGAACCUUAAUCAUAAUCAAUUAUUGAGUAAAUCUCUUUUGGCCUCACAUAGGUUGAAUCCAAGAUCAGUCCAAUUCUCCAAAUCCCAGAUACAUUUCGGUUUAAUUUUGGGUUCGGUUUGGUUCAGUUUAUUUAGAUUUUGUAAAACUUUAACCAUACUCAACCGAACUUAAUUGGUUUGGUUUGUGUUUGGGUCAGUUUUAGUUUGAUUCGGGUCGGUUUGGUAUUAGUUCGGUUCGGUUUUUAAUUCGGUACAAAAAAAUAAUUAUUUGUAUAAACGGAACAAUAAAUGAAAUAUGAAAGUUUUUUUGAGUUUUACUUUAAAGAUAGAAGUAGAGCCCUAGGUUUUUAAGGGUUAGAGUUUUAGAAAUAAAUAAAUAUUUAGUUUAGUUAUUUAUGAUAUUAUUAAUAUAAUUAAUUAAUUAAAUUAGUAAAUACAUUGGAUUAUCGGUUCGGUUCGGUUUAAAACCGAAUCAAACCGACCUAUUUAGGUUGAGACAAAAUGUAACCGAAUGGUUUAAGUUUAAAUUUGAGUUUGGUUUGACUCGGUUUGAAUUUGGUUGGGUUGGGUCGGUUCGGUUAAAAUCUCACCCCUACCAAAUAAUUUGCAAGUUUAAUUAAUCCAUGUCGGUGACAGCUCUAUGAAUCUAGAUGCCAAUAAGACAUGUUAAUUGUUAAGUCUAUAUCAACGUUAAUGCCAAAUAAAAAUUCUGGUCCCAUUCGAAUCAGAGGGGUAGUUUAGUCUUUUCACUUUAAAUCAGAAAUUACAAAAAUUACGAAAACGCCACGCACCUUUUAGUGAUCUUUCCAUGGU